AUGAACGCUGGCGGCGUGCCUAAUACAUGCAAGUCGAACGAGUUCUCGUUGAUGAUCGGUGCUUGCACCGAGAUUCAACAUGGAACGAGUGGCGGACGGGUGAGUAACACGUGGGUAACCUGCCCUUAAGUGGGGGAUAACAUUUGGGAACAGAUGCUAAUACCGCAUAGAUCCAAGAACCGCAUGGUUCUUGGCUGAAAGAUGGCGUAAGCUAUCGCUUUUGGAUGGACCCGCGGCGUAUUAGCUAGUUGGUGAGGUAAUGGCUCACCAAGGCGAUGAUACGUAGCCGAACUGAGAGGUUGAUCGGCCACAUUGGGACUGAGACACGGCCCAAACUCCUACGGGAGGCAGCAGUAGGGAAUCUUCCACAAUGGACGCAAGUCUGAUGGAGCAACGCCGCGUGAGUGAAGAAGGCUUUCGGGUCGUAAAACUCUGUUGUUGGAGAAGAAUGGUCGGCAGAGUAACUGUUGUCGGCGUGACGGUAUCCAACCAGAAAGCCACGGCUAACUACGUGCCAGCAGCCGCGGUAAUACGUAGGUGGCAAGCGUUAUCCGGAUUUAUUGGGCGUAAAGCGAGCGCAGGCGGUUUUUUAAGUCUGAUGUGAAAGCCCUCGGCUUAACCGAGGAAGCGCAUCGGAAACUGGGAAACUUGAGUGCAGAAGAGGACAGUGGAACUCCAUGUGUAGCGGUGAAAUGCGUAGAUAUAUGGAAGAACACCAGUGGCGAAGGCGGCUGUCUGGUCUGUAACUGACGCUGAGGCUCGAAAGCAUGGGUAGCGAACAGGAUUAGAUACCCUGGUAGUCCAUGCCGUAAACGAUGAAUGCUAGGUGUUGGAGGGUUUCCGCCCUUCAGUGCCGCAGCUAACGCAUUAAGCAUUCCGCCUGGGGAGUACGACCGCAAGGUUGAAACUCAAAGGAAUUGACGGGGGCCCGCACAAGCGGUGGAGCAUGUGGUUUAAUUCGAAGCAACGCGAAGAACCUUACCAGGUCUUGACAUCUUUUGAUCACCUGAGAGAUCAGGUUUCCCCUUCGGGGGCAAAAUGACAGGUGGUGCAUGGUUGUCGUCAGCUCGUGUCGUGAGAUGUUGGGUUAAGUCCCGCAACGAGCGCAACCCUUAUGACUAGUUGCCAGCAUUUAGUUGGGCACUCUAGUAAGACUGCCGGUGACAAACCGGAGGAAGGUGGGGAUGACGUCAAAUCAUCAUGCCCCUUAUGACCUGGGCUACACACGUGCUACAAUGGAUGGUACAACGAGUUGCGAGACCGCGAGGUUAAGCUAAUCUCUUAAAGCCAUUCUCAGUUCGGACUGUAGGCUGCAACUCGCCUACACGAAGUCGGAAUCGCUAGUAAUCGCGGAUCAGCACGCCGCGGUGAAUACGUUCCCGGGCCUUGUACACACCGCCCGUCACACCAUGAGAGUUUGUAACACCCGAAGCCGGUGGCGUAACCCUUUUAGGGAGCGAGCCGUCUAAGGUGGGACAAAUGAUUAGGGUG
rnacentral:rRNA from 1 species